GACGAACGCUGGCGGCGUGCCUAAUACAUGCAAGUAGAACGCACAGUUUAUACCGUAGCUUGCUACACCAUAAACUGUGAGUUGCGAACGGGUGAGUAACGCGUAGGUAACCUGCCUGGUAGCGGGGGAUAACUAUUGGAAACGAUAGCUAAUACCGCAUAAUAUUGAUUAUUGCAUGAUAAUUGAUUGAAAGCUGCUAUUGCAUCACUACCAGAUGGACCUGCGUUGUAUUAGCUAGUAGGUGAGGUAACGGCUCACCUAGGCGACGAUACAUAGCCGACCUGAGAAGGUGAUCGGCCACACUGGGACUGAGACACGGCCCAGACUCCUACUGGAGGCAGCAGUAGGGGAUCUUCGGCAAUGGACGAAAGUCUGACCGAGCAACGCCGCGUGAGUGAAGGAGGUUUUCGGAUCGUAAAGCUCUGUUGUAAGGGAAGAACGGGUGUGAGAGUGGAAAGUUCACACUGUGACGGUAUCUUACCAGAAAGGGACGGCUAACUACGUG
rnacentral:rRNA from 1 species